rnacentral:lncRNA from 1 species
GGACGGCCACUGCUCCGGGCACUCCGGGAAGCAUUGGCAGUAGCAGCACCGACACCGCCAUUAAUGGCAGCAGCGACCCCGCUGUAGCAGGUGCCAACUCAGCAGCAGCACAGCAGCAGCAGCUGCCAAGCCCGGGGGCACCACCACCACCACCACCACCACCCACACUACCGAACGCGCGACGUCGCCUCACCCUCCUGCCGCAACCGUCGCCCUCAGGGCCCGCAGCUGCCCCAGUCGACAUCUCCUCCACAUUCUCGGGUAGUCUGCAGAGUACGACAAUGGAAGCGGUUGCCAUGGCUUGCGGCACCCCCUGGGGGUCCCAUUCCGGAGAGC